UGUUCGUUGUUUUGAUUUAGUUCCUCCGAACUUUCCACACUGACUGGGUUUGAUUAGUCGUUGUGCUGUGUGUAGUUUGUGGUCAGUUAUAAGUCGGGGUGAAUAAGUCUGAGCAGAGAUGGCAGGUUACCACACAGCGCGGGUAGAAGAGGAUGAGGAAGAUGAAGAUGAAGGCGGACCGGUGUUGUAUAUAGCGGGGCUGCAGGAGCGCAGGAGGCGCAGGGAGCAGAUUGAUCAGAUCCAGCGUUUCCUCAGUGCAGCUGCGGAGAGAGAAGCUGAUCUGCUCUCGCUGCUCCACUGGCUCUCUGAAACCGAAGAAUCACUGCAGGACUGUGUCAGUAAGAAACAGGCCUGUAAGGAGUGGGCUGAGGACAUGGAGGAAAACAUGGAGGAAAAGUUGGACAAACUAUUAGUUGAUGUUAACUGUGCCAUCAACAGACUGUGUACAAUCUGUCAAUAUCUAUUUGAUAUUGAAAGUAAAAAAAGAAAAAUACAGACAGCUCAGAAGACUGGGGUUUUGCGAUGUUUGAAGGAGCAAAAAGUAGAUCCAAAGAUGAUGAAACGCAUUCAGAAACUGCAACCACCAACAGCAGACAAAUUUCUGGCUGAUGCAAGCCUUGCUAGCAAGUCCUCAACAGAGUUAACCUUAAUGCUGAAUGACAUCGCUAAAAGCAUGUCCAGUAAUAAAGCAACAGACAUGGCCUUUAGGUAUUUUCAAAUGGGUCUACAAAACCUGAAUCAAGCAUUUCAGGAGCGCACAACAGAAGUAAAGUCUCUACAGGUCCAAAUAGAGGAAAUGAAGAGAAACGAUUGUCAAUUUGAGAUGGCACAGCUAAAGAUGGAAAUAACCGAUAGCAACAUGAGGAUCUCUGAACUACAAAAGGAACUUGUUCAGAUAAAGGAGCAUAAUGCAGCACUUAUGUUACAGAAUGAAGCCAUAACUGUCCCAUACCAAAAGGAGGAAGAAAAAUAUAAGUUAGCUAAAGGCCGGUUGAAAUUGAAGUUUCCCAAACAAAAGAAGAAAGUGCAGGAGCAGCAAAACAUUGAACAUUCAUUCAUUCAUUCAUUGUCUGUUUUAAAACCAUGUUAUCCUGAUGAGGAUCAAGAUGGGUCUAAUUCAUUGGGCGAAAGGCAGGAAACACUCCAGACGGGUGACCAGUCCAUCUCAGGGCAAAACAUUGAUGUACAGCAUUACAGACAAGAGCAAUCUGCACAAAAAGAAGAACCAAUUGAUUUUGCUGAGGAGUCACCACAUCAUAGUGUGAUUCCAAUGAGUUUAAAAAUCUCGGAAGAACCGGUACCAAGAAAAAGCUCUGAUCCUGCACAGACUUUUAAGGGACCACUACUGGAUCUUACUAACAUACAUAUGGAGAUGUUACCAGAGAAUAAGGAUCAGCUGACAGAGUUGGUAUCUGAUGUUUACAUGGAAUUGCCUUCUGAUGAAAAACCUGAAUCUGAAUUAUUGCAGAGUGUAAAACAUUCACCCAGUGAUAUGCUAAGUAUUGUUAAUGAAGAGAUUGAAAAAUAUGAGCUAGCUGUGAGAGAUGCUGGGCACCAACUGCAGGCAGUGUCUACAGAAGAUGCAGAAUCAGACAGCUGGCAAAACUCGCUCGCCAUUUUGCUAAACCAGUUCAAAAACAUAAAUGAGAUAGGCAAAAAACAAGUCUGGAAUAUGCAGCUGGUCCUUAAGCUUCUGCAGGAGAUUCACUCAAACAUGACCCAAAAGGACAAACCACUAGCCCAGGAAGAACUUAUUUCUCAGGAUCCAUUUCCAGUUCCCAUUCCAUUUUGUGGGCACUCUCCUGUACUUUCCCCUUCUAUGAUGAUGUAUCCAAACAAGGAGAUUCUAAAAGUGGUUAGGGAACAAAUGCAGCCUAAUGGAGCAAUCAAGAUCCACAAACCAGAACAGAUUGUUAAUACCAAGCCAGCUGAAUCAGUGGUAAUAAUGGACUGUGUGGAGCGCUAUGUAAAAGAUAUUAAAGUGGAAGGAGAGAGAUUGCUCCAGACCAAAAUGAAAGGACGUACGCAUGUCAUCAAUGUGAAAUGCCAGAGAACAAACCUCAGGCUUCUUAACCAGGCUUAUGUCAACAGGAACAUUUCUCCUAGACUCUUCUAUCUGGCAAGGGAUGUUGUUCUUGAUACUCUUGCCAGCGUGAAUAUGCGGAUUGCCUGCCUCUUUCAAAGAUACAUAACACACAUUGCUCUACAGCAACUCAGAAAAACUCUGGAUGCCCAGUUACAGCAAGCCAGAGAACUGAACAGUGGAAAAGCUGUUAAAGACCUGCACUUCUUUCUGCAAAGACUAAGUGAGUUUCAACACAAAGUGAUUAGUAAAUGGACUGACAAGCAAAUUUCCAUUGACCAGAGGCGCCUAAAAUGCAUGGCCCAGAUGACUUACCUUUUUCAUCAGAUGAAAGUGGAUUAUAGGUUACAGCUGGCACCUCCAUAUACAUGCCAGCGUGGCCUAUCACAGCCGUUGCUGUCUGUUACUCCCUGGAAAAUGCACUGGUCUCUAAACCUUGAUCUUAUGCAGAACCUGCAGCCUGUGUCAGGAGGACCCUGUCAUGCUCCUCCCAAUUCACCAUCACUUCAUCCACAUUGUUGUAAUACAUCCAGCUAUUUUUCUUCGGAUGUGCAUUCGAAUAGCUUUUACAACUGAUUACGGGAACUGUUUUGAUCACAAAAACACGGCUGAUUUAUUUCUACAGACAAGGCAAACGUUGCUACCCUUUUAUGUUUUAUGUAUAAAAUUGUGGAAAGGAAAUUGACAUUAAAUGAAAAAGUGGCUUAGUGACAGGUAACCUUUGGCAAGCAAAAGACACAAAGAACUCCAUGUGGCUUGCUAGUCAGGUACCUGUAGAUU